rnacentral:ncRNA from 17 species
GGGAGCGCCGGUGAUGGGGCUCACCGCAACCGCGGAGGUGUCCGCUGACGGUCCCUGGUCCAGC